AUGCAGAAACAAAACCCUUCUUAAACCUUACAAAAACAUUGCUUCCACUUUCUACAAAAUAUAUGCGGUAAUUCCGUAAUUGUGUGCGGGAAGGGGGAGAUAGUGCUUACGUAAGCCCUAGCCCACUGCCCCUGAUCCUGUUCAAGCCCCGUCAAGUGAGCAACAGCAGAGAAACUCAGCAAUGGCGAAGAAGCAAUCUGAAAACUCGGUCCAAUUAAAGCCAAACCACAAAUCUCUAUUGGCCUAUCCAUCGCUUUCUGGAUCGAAAAUAGUGGCUUUUCUAUAGCUCUCGAACACUUUAUCUCCGAAGCUCAAAUUCAGGUGUAUGCAAUUAAUCUAUUUAUUAUUUAUUUUUCACGGGUGAAUAUAAAUGCUAAUGAAUGAGAAAACGAAAAAGUUUAAGUUGGAUACACUGUUAAAGAUAUGUUAUACUGAAUUGGUGGUUGUACUCUGUUCACGUGUAUUCAUGAACUUUUUCCCUGGAGUGCUGGUAAAAUAUUAUAUAUCUUUCUGAGUUCGUAACUGUAACAAGAGAAGAAAUGGAAUGGAAAAAUUGAAAAUUUUCUGGGGACUGCCAAUGGACUUUCGGGAGUAAACUUCUAGAUAUCCAUAAAAUUUCCUGCUUGUUCCCGAAAACAUUGACAAAGAUGAAGUAACUUUGAUUUUGCUAUAUGUUUGCCUAAUUAUACAUGCAUAUCAGUAGCAAUUUAGGCUAUUGGCGUUGAAUAGUUUUAAACAUGAAGGCUGGUGAAAAGUGUGGAGAAAUAAGAGCAAGAGAGAAAAUGCAGUUUUGAUCGUCAUCCAUAUUAUUCAGUGUUACACUCUUGCAGUUUUUUCAUUGGGACAUAGCGCUGUAAAUUCUAGUUCAGGAUGACGAUUGGAAGGCUAGGACGCUUAAUUUAGAGGAUGUAUUCUCCAAGUAGUUGGAAAUCUGAAAAACUUGCAGGUGAAGCAGCAGAUAAACACCAAAGGAUUCUGCUGAUGGAAAAGUUUGCGAAUUACCAAUUGAUGAAUCUACUAGAAGCCAGAAAGACAAGAAGAAGAAAGGCAAGUUAACGUGUGAAUUACUAGACAGUGAUGAAAAGCAAAUAGAUGCGAGGAUAAUAGCAACAGGACAACAUGGUAGCGACAUUUCAUCAUAUGGGAAUAAAUUCCAGGCUAAAUAAAAGAAGAGAAAGAAAGAGGCUACAGCUUCUACAGAAUCAUCUGGUUCUGGUACAGAGUAUUUGAUAGUGAAAACUCAAUACUUGGAAUACCUAAACAAAAUUGAUUGAGUGUAGAAGAUUGUGUUGACAAAUAUAAGAUGGCUUCCUAGAAAUGAAAAAGAUUUACUCUUGAUGAAAAUGAGAACCACCCUGUAGAAGAAGUAGCAGUUGAAGAAUUAAAGUGCAGAAAGACUGGAGGCUUAGAAGAAUUGAAGGUUGUUGAGCAGCAAAUCACUAUCUCUAGAGCUAAUGGACUUUGCUGAGUCUCUGAAUUUUCUGCUAAGAAAGUUGAUGAAAGCACUAACGGUAAUAUCAACAGGAAUGAACUGAAAAAUUCCAGUCAACCAAAAUCUGGGAGGAGACAGCGCAACAGUUCUGCUGAGCCCAAAACAGUGAAUGCAUUUCAAAGGGUGAAAGUUGAUGAUGUGAAAUAUGUUGAUGAGAGGCUUCAAGAUAACUCUUAUUGGGCACUGGUUUGUUUCUUUUCCUUGUUAUUUUCGCAUGCUCUGGUGAAUGUAUGAAUAUUUAUUUGUGUACAUGUGACACCGAAUAUUUUAUGCAUAAACAAUAAAUGUUUCCAUAAAGCAUUCUCUACCAUGUUCUCCUGUGUUUUAACAUUUAAGAUAGUGCAAGAAAUGGUUAUGGGGCAAAAGCACAGGAAGUUUUGUGCCAGGUUAAAGGAAGGUAUGCCUUUCCAUUUUCAGAGGCGGAUGUAAGGGGAAUAGCCCAGGCCUUCCCCAACCCAAUUUUACAAUUCGCUUAAAAUAUUCUUAUUAUUUUUAUUAGUUCCAGUUUAAACUCCAGUCCAAAUUUAAAUUGUUUCACCCAGUCCCCAGCCUAGUGUCUAAUUGCACAUUUAACCCAUAGUGUAUAACUCGUCCUCCAAUGCCAUACAUUUCAUUUUUAAUUUCAACUUUGUCCCUAAAUUCAAUUUCUAAUUUCGCUACCAUAUUCCCCACCCAUGUCCGAUUUCAAUUUCCGAAUUCGAAGUCCUAUUUAUUGUUCAUAUUCCAAGUACUAACAUUUACGGAAUAUUUUUUAUUUUAUUUCAUAUUUUAUGUUUAUUUUUAGUUUUUUGCUUCAAAAUCAAUAGUAUAUUUUUAUGUUAAAUUCUUUUGGUUGAUCUAAUUUCAUGAUACUAAGUGCUACGAUGGUUCGCUUGAGCCUUGACACUUUAGUGGGUAAUGUCAUAUA